GUCAUAUUCUCUUGCAGAUGGCGCAAUCACUAUUAUCAGAUCUAGGCUUCGAGCAAAGGGCCCGGGGCGGUAAAAGGAGACUGAUAAGUGACGUAAAAUGAUAGGAAAUUACCACUUCUUCAGGAAGGCUUUUGCAUGCAUCCACUACUCACUAAGUAAAGUAAUACAAAGCCAUGAGGUGGAAAGGACUGCCUGUAGAACUCAGAGACAGAAUUUUUUGGAGACAGAUCUGGAGAAGGAGACAAAACCAUUUCUGCUGCACUGAAAGUUCCCAAGAGCUCAAUGGUCUCCAUAAUUCUUACAUGGAAGGAGGAACAACCAGGACUCUUCCUAGAGCUGCCGCUCCACCAAAUUAAGUAAUCAGGGGAGAAGGACCUUGGCAAGAGAGGGGACUGAGAACCCAAUGGUCACUCUGGCUGAGCUCCAAAGAUCCUGUGUGCAGAUGGGAGAAACUUCUAGAAGGUCCAGAACCAUCACUGCAGCCUCCACAAUCUGGGCUUUAUGGCAAGACAGAAGACUCUCAGACUCCCGGGACACAUUAGAUUUUUUUCUAACGUUCCCACUUUUAAGCAUUGCUCUAAAAUGUUUCUCCUAAGAGGGUUACUUUAUCGCUUGUCUUGGAAUUUGACAUGGACAUUGUAACCAAGAUGCCUCCUUAUCAGCUGUAAACCAUCCUGUAUUGUCAGAUCUGGAAAAAGUCUUCUUCUCAGUGCCAAAAAUACAGCAGUUACCCUUUGGCCGCUCUUCCAGAUGGACCUGAAAUAAAAAAUAAAAAAAAAAAACUUACCUGAAACUGCAAUAGAAGUGUUAUCUGGAGCUCUAUGAACCUUAUAGAUGUCCCACGGUCAUUUAAUCCCGAAGACUGGGAUGGUGCCAACAAAGGAGUCUGAAGGAACAUUACACUUCUGUCCUCUCUUAGGACUUUCAGGCUUGAAAGGGGAAUUUCAGGGGGACCGAUUCUACCAAACAUGAAAAAACCCUGGGAGCAAAUGUCCGAUGAAGAUGUCAUAGUGAUCUAAAGAUGGAGGUUCCUCGAUGUUCUCAACUUUACAUGUUGAGAAACCUCAGACCUUCUAUGGCCAAGAAAAUUGAAGCGUUUCUGAAGGAGAACCUUUCGACAGCUUUCCAUCCUAUGGAGCUGCUGUGUCAUCCGUCGACCAGCCCAGAUAUGAACAAACCCUGGAAGCAAAUGUCCCAUAAAGAACCAGAUGGAGAAGAGAUGGAGGUUCUCAACUUCAAUUAUGGUAAAACCUCACAGACAGAAGCUGGAAGCGUUCUUCACGGAAGACUUUGAAAAUACAAAGACUCGUUCGACGGCUUCAGAGGCUGUGAUCCCCGUCCAGGAUUCAUUGACGCAGUGCCCGCACUUUUACAAGCGCCAAAUAU